rnacentral:rRNA from 1 species
UACGAAGGGGGCUAGCGUUGUUCGGAAUUACUGGGCGUAAAGCGCACGUAGGCGGCUUUCUAAGUCGGGGGUGAAAUCCUGGAGCUCAACUCCAGAACUGCCUUCGAUACUGGAAAGCUCGAGUACGGGAGAGGUGAGUGGAACUGCGGGUGUAGAGGUGAAAUUCGUAGAUAUUCGCAAGAACACCAGUGGCGAAGGCGAGUCACUGGCCCGGUACUGACGCUGAGGUGCGAAAGCGUGGGGAGCAAACAGG